UACGUAGGGUGCGAGCGUUGUCCGGAAUUACUGGGCGUAAAGCGUGCGCAGGCGGUUUUGUAAGCCAGAUGUGAAAUCCCCGGGCUUAACCUGGGAAUGGCAUUUGGGACUGCAAGGCUUGAGUGCGGCAGAGGAGACUGGAAUUCCUGGUGUAGCAGUGAAAUGCGUAGAUAUCAGGAGGAACACCGAUGGCGAAGGCAGGUCUCUGGGCUGACACUGACGCUCAUGCACGAAAGCGUGGGGAGCAAACAGG
rnacentral:rRNA from 1 species